CCAAAGAUAAAAAAACCGAAACCGCCGCCACCUCCACAACAACCAAAACCGGCCAAGGUAUUGAUUGCAAUGCCAUGUUAUUCUUCUUAUUCCUGCUUUCAGCGUUGACUAGACAAGUGAAGGCGAAGGAGGUGAAAAUCCUGAGGGUGCUUCAGCGACCGAGGGCACUCCUCCAGCAGAAAGAGCCUCUGGCGAAGGUCAAGCUGUUGAGGGAAAGGAAGGAGAGGCAGGAGAGGGAGGUGAAGGUGAAGAAGAGGGUGAAGAAGGACCUGAAGGACCUGAAGUAGCCGAAGGCGAGGGGGAUGAAGGUGGAGGACGGGAAACAGAGGAAGGAAAGAAUAAAAAGAAAAAGACAAAGAAGGCUCCCCCGCCGCCAGCAGUUGAAGAAGUCCUACCCGAUGAGUUUUCCUCUUCAUUCCAAGCAGGAGCAUUGUUGUACACAAAAAGUAGCAUGAACACAUUCUACGUAUCGCUAGAGGUGAGCACACUUGUCAACUCGUCAUAUUCUUACAUUUGGAAUUUUUCAUUUCCAGGGGAAGACGGGAUUGCUGUACGAAUCUCAUGCCGACUCUAAAGACGCUCUAGGAUAUGCGCCGUGGAGUCAAGGAACGCUAACUACGCUCGAGUACGUUACUCUUUUCUAGCUCAAUUACGCUUCAACCAUUGUUUAACUGUAGGUACACGCAUUCGAUGGAGUAUGUUGUGUCAGGAACAGCUGAUGGAGUCGUUCGCAUCAAUACUACUCCUCACGCUGGACAAUUGGGUUUAGUACAGCAGCAAAAGUACUGGGAGGUAUCAAUGCGUAACAUACAAGUUUCUCGUUUGACAUUCCUUUACAGGGUAAUGUUCACGAUUGCUACUCGGGUUCCAUUGGCAACUGUGUCAUGAGCUAUGACAAUUUGUAUUUGGUACUUGUUGUUGUUGCAUUCUAUUGAGUAUCUAACCUGACAUUCUCAGGCCAGUGUCGCCCAUGAUGGCAGCUUUUUCCUUUAUGAGAUGUCUUUGGAAACAGGGGCCCCUAGGCAUCCUGAUACAAAAACUAAAGGUUUUAUGUUAAUGGUGAUACAUUCCAGAGGCUGACUUUCACGUUUGUGCUGCAUUUGGCAGAUCUUGAAGAUACUUUGCCAGACGCAUCAGACGUCCCCCCUGGGGUCUAUAGCAUCGAGGAUGACAAACAGAAAACGGAACAAGAAAACAAGCUCAGGACUGCAUUGCAGAAGAAAAAGCUUGUCACUGACAGAUUGGAUAGGAUCCGGCGAGAACUGGAAGAGCUUAUCAGAGUAAACAAAGAAAAGACGCCAACCGAAAUGAUUCCUUUCGAGACUUUUGAGAUAGACUCGAGUUUGAGGGG
rnacentral:lncRNA from 1 species